rnacentral:lncRNA from 1 species
CUCACAUGUAAGCUGCUACUUAUGAGCUGUGUGAUGCUGGGCUCUUCAUUUUCAGUUUUUGGGCCUCAGAUUUCCUAGCCUCCAAAUGAAGGUGGUACUAGGCACCUCAGGUUUGUGGGAAGAUGUGUUCAUUCACCUAAUGUUUAUUGAGCAGCUUCUAUGUGCCAGGAGUUUGAAAGAAGGUUGUAUUCGGCACCGAUGACAAGAGGACCUUCACUGACCUUUAGCAAUAGGCACCUGACCAGGACAGGCCUUUGGGACCUAGACAGGAUCAUGGUGGAACACGACCCAGCAUAACGUGCAAGAAAUCCAUGGAAGA